CAGCUGCGGGGCUGGAGGCGGCAUUCGGGGUUGGAGAUGGCAUGAGAAGCAGAGCUCCUUGUGCCACUCUCUCUACAAAGAAAGUGUAGUCUGCAAGCUUAUCAAAUCUGGGUACUGUUUGUAAAAGUGCAGCACCAUGCAUCACUACAUGGUGCUAUGAAAAUUCAAGCGGGCUGAAGUAAAGAUUACUCUAUGUAAAAUUCAUGCUUCAAUGCCUACUCGGAAAUAUAUCCGUGCUUGGUAGUUUGAGACUAUUGGUGUCAAGAUCUUGCUCCAAAU